ensembl:lncRNA
CACUGGAAUUACUCGAGAACUUGAGACAGGAAACCAGAGCACUGUGGGCGGACAGAGUAGACACGUCUACUCCCAAGAUAAAUAAAAUGUCAGAAGCAGAUGCUUUUCCUGCAUUCGAGGUGCCAGGAAGCAGGAAGUCAGAGCUUUGAAUUAGAGGGUGUGUACAGUAAUGCUGGUACAGUAGGGCAGGUGCAGUAGGGCGUGUACAGUAGGGCGGGUGCGGUAAUGCAGGUACAGUGGGGCGUGUACAGUAGGGCGGGUGCGGUAAUGCAGGUACAGUGGAGCGUGUACAUGGGGGCGUGUACAGUAGGGCGUGUACAGUGGGGCGUGUACAGUGGGGCGUGUACAGUGGGGCGUGUACAGUAGGGCGGGUGCGGUAAUGCAGGUACAGUGGGGCGUGUACAGUGGGGCGUGUACAGUAGGGCG